AAAAGGGGUAAACUAAGAAUGCCACUUGUCAAGAGUACAAAGCGAAGAAUAGUACAAGAGAUCGAUAAAGAAAGCUACAGCGCGGCUUAGAGCAAAACUUCUCGCGGCGGAGUAGCGGAGGGACGAUCGCCACCUGGGAAGGGCGAAGAGAGACAACGGUGGCUUCUCUGUGAGCUACAAACAAAGGCCGAGGAAUCUAUUUUUGGGGCUCACCUUGAAGCUUUACUCCAAGUCUGGGGUUUUUCGACUGUUAAUUGCAUAGGGAUUUAUUAUGGAUUUCAGGUGUCUUCGGUUGUCAUUUUAAGUUUAAAAAGUAUUAUUAUAGGAGUAAAACUGUAUUGAGUUUAUAAAUUAUAAACCAUUACUAUCUGAGCCAUUGGUUUCAUUCCACGUGGGUACCUAGUAAAACAUUGGAGACGUGGCCCAAAACUAUUUGUUUAGAUCAUAAGAAUUUAUUGUCUUUACAACUGAAAAUUAUAGUACAGAGUCCCCAAUUUCCCAUCGUUACUGGUGGCCGAUCUCUCCGAUCUCCCUUCCAGUCCUCUAUCAUAGUCAAAACUCUAACACACACGAACUGAGUUGAGUGACCUCAGCCGGGUACAGAGCCUCUGCCGUACUGCCACCACCUUCACCACUCACCACCAAUCCCAUAUUUAUGUCACAGUAGUAAUGGCAAACAUCGCCAAGGAAGAGCCAAAGACUGCUCCUCAACCCGAUAGAUGGUACAAUCUAGCUCUAGGUUCUUCAUUUAAGGAUGAUUCCUCCAAGUACUGCACUUUACGAUAUGAGUUUAAACCGGCUUCGAUUGAUAAGAGCAAGGCUGGGUCGUUACGCAAAACAAAGGAGAAUAGGGUUAGUGUAGAAUUUCAGAACAAUCAAUUGGGAAAACCUAAGGUGGCAUUCGAGGGAAAAAGUGAGGAUUACAAGGAUCACGAUGCUGUAUUGUUCUUUGAUGGGGAGACUUUUCGCUUGGAGCGGCUACAUCGGGGUGUCAAACAACUCCGACACGUUCGACAGCCCGGUGAAUCGGCUGCUGCUGCUGCCGCUGCUGCAGCAGCGAUAGAGCCUCGAUUAUCUCCUGUUGCAAAGGCUCAGAAGACAGUUCAUGUUGGUAGAAGCUCAUACCCUGCAGUGCCGGUUGAGGUGGAACGAAUUGAUAUUGGUGGACCAGAGAAUGCAGUGAGUACAAAAUCUGCCAGUAAGGUGAUCGCUGAUCAUACAUCUGAACCACCAAACAUAUCUGCUGCAUCACCAGAACCUAAGAACGAUGAAGUCGAGGAACAUCAAGACAUAGACAUGGAGGACAUUUUUGGCACCGCGUCACCUGCAGCUGAAGAUGGAAAUGCUGCUGCAGAAGAUAAAUCCAACACAGGGUUUGACAUGAUCGUACCACGUCAAAAUGACACUGAUGAUGAGAUUGCUGAUGUUGAUGAUAGCGGUGAUGAAGUUGACAAGGGUCCAAAUGCUGCAGAAGCACUAAGAGCUCAAGUGAAUGCCGAGGAGAGGGGUGAACAGACUUCCUCUUCUAGUAGUAGCAGUGGAAGUGGAAGUAGUAGCGGUAGUGCAAGCAGUAGCAGCAGCGACAGCGAAGGCAGCGAUGAAGAUUCCGUCAAUUCCAUCUGAGUGUUGAUGUUAAUAACAUUUACAAGGGGAAAAACAGGAAGAAAAGAAGAAGAGGAAAGGCACAAGAAUAUAGCUACAAUUAUAAGUUCACUAAAAUUAUACCCUAAAAUAACUGAUAGUAUUGUUUUUUAAAAUAAUAUGUCCCGUCUGAAGAUUGACUAAAAGAAACUGUCACGUCAGUUGUGUGUAAUAUUUUGAUGCAUAAUUUUGAUGCAAUACUGUAACAUAUGAUAUAAUUGUUGUUUGUCGUAUCAAGUAGUGUCGAUGAAUAUUAUCGUCCCCAAAUUUUAAGACU